AUAAUCUGUCUGAUGACGAAAAUGAUGAUUGUUUUAUGCCAAAAGAUCAAACCGGAGCAAUUUCGAGAGAAGUGCCUGUUAUGGAUAAAAUAAGUUGUCCCAAUAAAGAAAGUGAAAAUGGUCAAACUGGGAAUUGGGCUAAAUACUCCCCCCAAAAUCUUGAAGCAAAAAAAAUUUUCAGCACUCACGCCAUAUCGUA